rnacentral:rRNA from 1 species
CCUACGGGUGGCAGCAGUGGGGAAUAUUGCACAAUGGGCGAAAGCCUGAUGCAGCAACGCCGCGUGAGCGAUGAAGGCCUUCGGGUCGUAAAGCUCUGUCCUCAAGGAAGAUAAUGACGGUACUUGAGGAGGAAGCCCCGGCUAACUACGUGCCAGCAGCCGCGGUCAUACGUAGGAUCCGAGCAUUAUCCGGAGUGACUGGGUGUAAAGAGUUGCGUAGGUGGCAUAAUAAGUAGCUAGUGAAAUCUGGUGGCUCAACCAUUCAGACUAUUAGCUAAACUGUUAAGCUCGAGACCGUUAGGGGUAACUGGAAUUUCUAGUGUAGGAGUGAGAUCCGUAGAUAUUAGAAGGAACACCAAUAGCGUAGGCAGGUUGCUGGGACGGUUCUGACACUAAGGCACGAAAGCGUAGGGAGCAAACGGGAUUAGAUACCCUUGUAGUC